CUAAAUUAAUUUUUCUAUUGGUAGAUUGGGGAGAUUACAAAAUCCUGAGUGAAUUCUUUUAAGUUCUAAUUGAUUGCAAAUUUGGAAAAAUCAAGUUUGUUGUUGUGGAGGGGGAUUUCUCAAAUUCCAAGUUAUGUUGUUCUUUGUGUUAUUGAGGAUGCAAAGACAUUUUUUAUUUUGCUAGUUGCUGGGGAUGCAAAGGGAUUUCAACUAGAUUAACAAUGGCGAAGCCAGUUGAGGCCUAGAAGGGUUAACUGACCUUCCUCCAAUUUAUGCAACAAAUGCAUUUGUUAAGUGUUAUAUUUGAUUUUCUUUUAUAGAUGACCCUUCUAACUUUCGGACUCUAGUUAAUUGUUAUUCUUUACCUCUAUAAUUUUUC